GAAUAGAAAGAGUUGUUUAUCUUGUUAUGAAGAGCCUUCUAGGGGCCGGAUCAGAAUACUUGGUGGCGUUUGAACAUCUUUCUUUUUUCUUUUCUCCAUUAACGCUCCUCUUUCUUAUCCACUCUAUCAAUAUGGAUGCUGAUGAGACGGAUGACAAGAAUGUUGGCAUAAAAAGUGCAGUUGAUUUUGUAUAAUUUUUAUGUGGUCCGUGUGGAGACAUGUGGCCACACAAAUGAAUGCCAAGCGCCCACCUAAUUUUUUAAAAAUUUCAUUAUUAUGUUUGUUUUUUGGUCCUUAAAAACAAAAAAAGAGAGAAAAAAGAAGUUCAGGGUUUUGUCAUUUACACAUUGCUUGGAUGAAUCUUUCCAUAUGGAAAGAACAGAAAGGGGCAUGUUGGUAUUGAUAUGGUUGACACACAGGCACAUAAGACAUGUUAUACUGUUGACUGUUGAGUGACAAGUCUUCCAUAUCUAUUUAUAGACAACCAGUGUGUUUGGGUUGUGAUGAUAAACGGCCGGUGAUUUUCAGUACUUGUGGAUUCCUUUCAUCAGCCCAAAUAUUACGGCAUUCAUAGGCAUCUUUUACAGAGGAAUUAGAGCUACAUCCACGGUUCUUUGAACUUUUAUUCUCAUUCAUGUCAAAAUAAUGGCAUGAGGACAGACCGGAAACCGGAUUUUGGCUUUGCUAGUGACUGUUCGUAGCCAAGCCAUGUUCGCGCCAUCAGUGCACAACUGCCAUCUCAUAUGGAAAAAUGAAAUCCGAAUGGGUCAGACAGACUGAAGAAAAAAGAUAUGGAUCUCUAGGAACAAGCCUAUGCAUGAUAAUGUUUUGAAACCAGUUAGAGUGCUAAAGAAUGAGAUCUGGCAAACAUGUUCUUCUCUUCUUCUGCAACAAUCUUGGAGCAGGGAUGUUAUGAAGGCUAUCCAAUUAUGGUUGAAAACAAAAAUUCUGUCCCCCUUUCGGAAAUCCAAGCCGUAUGAGGGUUGUCUUAUGGAACUGGUAUCUACAAUCUGUAAGGGAGAAUUGAUUGGGCAUGCAGAUAUUUGUUCAUAUUUCAAUUUGCAAUAAUCACCUCUGAUUGUUGGUUAGAGGUAGUGAGGAUAAUAGACUAGAUACAGGUGGUA